AGAGUUUGAUCCUGGCUCAGGACGAACGCUGGCGGCGUGCUUAAUACAUGCAAGUCGAACGGAGUUAAGGGUUUCGGCCUUUAACUUAGUGGCGAACGGGUGAGUAACGCGUGAAUAACCUGACUCAAAGAGGGGGAUAACAACGGGAAACUGUUGCUAAUACCGCAUGAGACCACAACACCGCAUGAUGAAGGGGUCAAAGAUUUAUCGCUUUGAGAGGGGUUCGCGUCCCAUUAGGUAGUUGGAGGGGUAACGGCCCACCAAGCCAACGAUGGGUAGCCGAGCUGAGAGGCUGAUCGGCCACACUGGAACUGAGACACGGUCCAGACUCCUACGGGAGGCAGCAGUAGGGAAUAUUGGGCAAUGGGCGCAAGCCUGACCCAGCAACGCCGCGUGAGGGAAGAAGGUUUUCGGAUUGUAAACCUCUGUCCUAUGUGACGAAGGAAGUGACGGUAGCAUAGGAGGAAGCCCCGGCUAACUACGUGCCAGCAGCCGCGGUAAUACGUAGGGGGCGAGCGUUGUCCGGAAUUACUGGGCGUAAAGGGUGCGUAGGCGGUUUGGUAAGUUGGAUGUGAAAUACCCGGGCUUAACUUGGGGGCUGCAUCCAAUACUGUCGGACUUGAGUGCAGGAGAGGAAAGCGGAAUUCCUAGUGUAGCGGUGAAAUGCGUAGAUAUUAGGAGGAACACCAGUGGCGAAGGCGGCUUACUGGACUAUAACUGACGCUGAGGCUCGAAAGCGUGGGGAGCAAACAGGAUUAGAUACCCUGGUAGUCCACGCCGUAAACG
rnacentral:rRNA from 1 species